AUUGAACGCUGGCGGCAGGCCUAACACAUGCAAGUCGAACGGUAGCACAGAGAGCUUGCUCUCGGGUGACGAGUGGCGGACGGGUGAGUAACGUCUGGGAAACUGCCCGAUGGAGGGGGAUAACUACUGGAAACGGUAGCUAAUACCGCAUAACGUCGCAAGACCAAAGUGGGGGGCCUUCGGGCCUCACACCAUCGGAUGUGCCCAGAUGGGAUUAGCUAGUAGGUGGGGUAAUGGCUCACCUAGGCGACGAUCCCUAGCUGGUCUGAGAGGAUGACCAGCCACACUGGAACUGAGACACGGUCCAGACUCCUACGGGAGGCAGCAGUGGGGAAUAUUGCACAAUGGGCGCAAGCCUGAUGCGGCCAUGCCGCGUGUAUGAAGAAGGCCUUCGGGUUGUAAAGUACUUUCAGCGGGGAGGAAGGCGGUGAAGUUAAUAGCUUAACCGAUUGACGUUACCCGCAGAAGAAGCACCGGCUAACUCCGUGCCAGCAGCCGCCGUAA
rnacentral:rRNA from 1 species